rnacentral:tRNA from 4 species
GCCGGGAUAGCUCAGUGGUAGAGCGAAGGCCUGAAGAGCCUUGCGUCGUCAGUUCGAUCCUGACUCCCGGCACCA